rnacentral:rRNA from 1 species
AACGAACGCUGGCGGCAGGCCUAACACAUGCAAGUCGAACGCUGUAGCAAUACAGAGUGGCAGACGGGUGAGUAACGCGUGGGAAUCUUCCUAUCGGUACGGAAUAGCUCAGGGAAACUUGGGGUAAUACCGGAUAAGCCCUUCGGGGGACAGAAUUAGCGCCGAUAGCUGAGCACGCGUCUGAUUAGCUAGUUGGUGAGGUAAUGGCUCACCAAGGCGACGAUCAGUAGCUGGUCUGAGAGGAUGACCAGCCACACUGGGACUGAGACACGGCCCAGACUCCUACGGGAGGCAGCAGUGGGGAAUAUUGGACAAUGGGGGCAACCCUGAUCCAGCCAUGCCGCGUGAGUGACGAAGGUCUUCGGAUUGUAAAGCUCUUUUGGCGGGGACGAUAAUGACGGUACCCGCAGAAUAAGCCCCGGCUAACUUCGUGCCAGCCGCCGCGGUAA